AUGUCGAGAUAAGCUAGCUACUAGAGCUCUUGAGCGAAUAUCCAGGGCAAAUAAAAUGUUCAAAGAAUUCAACGUCUGAUCCCAUCAGUGCUUUUCUGAAACCGGACAGCUGCAAUUGUCAGGCCUUGCAGACUAGUAGGUUGAAAACGCCGCCAAUUCAGCAGCACCAUUCAUACCGAUCGACUUGGUAAAUAUGUAAAGCUUGAUGUGCUGAUGGAACGAGAAUCUUUAUUUUCGAAAUCUGAUAUCGCAUCUUAGAAGUUGUAAGAAUAAAUAAUUAAAAAUCAACGACCGCGACAAUUAGUCCUUACUCCUUAAAAUCUCGAAUAAGGAAAAGAAAGAGUGCGUACCGGGGAGAGGGGGAACUCGGCAUCAUAAAUAUCAUGCCCUAGCUGCCGCCCCCGUCAUCCCGCCGUCUUUUCCCUGACGUAGUGCUGGGGGUGAUGCGAUGCGAUGCGAGCACGCAAGAGGUGAAGAACAAGAGGUGGACACAAGGAAGAAGAAGCCGGAGAUCUAGAAGAAAGAGAAGACAAGCCGUCUUGCUGUUCUGAUCUCGGGUAACAGCCAUGGACCUAUCGCUUUGUGCCAUGGAACCUCCGUCUGCUGAUGCUGCGACGGCUCCCAAGACCGUUCAGCCACGAGAUCAGGCUCGGCAAGUGCAAGCACCAUCUCCGCUUGCUGUAUCAGUGCCGCCGCAAGAAAGCUUUGGUUGUAAUGGAGGAGGAGGAGGAGGCGGCGGCGGCGGCGGCGGCUGCCCCUGCUGCUCCAAUGGGGAAUCCUGAUUCAUGCCACAUCCUUUACGAGAGCGCCGUAGCCGCUGCUACUCCAAUGAGAAAUCCUGAUUCAUGCCACAUCCCCUUAUGAGAAACUGAAGGAUUGUCUCAACAACGACGAGGUCAGGCUCGGGAAGUGCGAGCUCCAUCUUCCCGUGUUGUUUGUGUGCCACAUGAGAGCUCGUGAGCUCUGGAGUUGAUUCAUUGGCCCUUUGCCUCUUUCGACUCACGGUCUCAUUGAUAAGAUAGUAAAAAUAUUAUUCGCAAAAAAAAGACAGUAAAAAUAUGAACUAAAUGCUGCAACCUACUAAUAUCCGUACUGUGAAAUUAUCUUUAUUGUUGGUACGGGCUAAGUUUGUGGUAUGUGCUAAUAUUUUCCUUGGAGUAGUGUACAUUCUAUCCUUGAAUCUUGGAACAUCUUUCAUGGCAGUGAUCAUAAAUGUUUGCUUUUCACUAUGUUUGAACACCUAGGGUCUUGUUUAGUUGGCAAAGUUUGGAGGUGCCAAAUUACU